GAAAGCAGUUCCAUUUCAAAGAUAAGGAGUUAUACACCAUCUAGUGAGAUUUUCAAGUGCUUAGAAGACUUUGGCAAAUUUCAGUUUUUCAUAUGGCUAAAUUCGAUGCCCUCGUUGGUGGUUUGACGUGCUGGAUGGUGGUGUCACAAGAUUUAGAUUUUGACAUUUGAUUCAAGCAUUAGAGAUUAAGAAUUAAAGAAAUCAGUUUUGGAUCGGGGAAAAACAAAGGUGGUCGAGUAGCCGAUUUAACAGUCGAUGACAUUCGAGAUUAUGGAAUUGGUUACGAGCUCGGGGAUCGUUAGCAAGACUUAUCACACUAUCGACAGUUUCCUUCGGUACUUUACUAAGUUGAUCUUGAGUAUAUGACACGUAUAGCAUAGUUAAUAUGUUGAUUUUGGAACUAAUGUGUAUGUUUAAUUAAUAGCCAUGUGAAAAUGGCUUAUCUCCUUUUUGUUUGGGUUUGGUAUUGAUGCAUAUGGUAAAAUAAGUAAAAUGGAUAUUUUUCUUGUGUAUAUUCAGA